UGAGUAAUCUGCCCCUGGCUUUGGGAUAGCCACCGGAAACGGUGAUUAAUACCGGAUAUGACCACUUCUCGCAUGGGUUGUGGUGGAAAGUUUUUCGGCCAGGGAUGUGCUCGCGGCCUAUCAGCUUGAUGGUGAGGUAAUGGCUCACCAUGGCUUCGACGGGUAGCCGGCCUGAGAGGGUGACCGGUCACACUGGGACUGAGACACGGCCCAGACUCCUACGGGAGGCAGCAGUGGGGAAUAUUGGACAAUGGGCGGAAGCCUGAUCCAGCAACGCCGCGUGAGGGAUGACGGCCUUCGGGUUGUAAACCUCUUUCAGCAGGGACGAAGCGCAAGUGACGGUACCUGCAGAAGAAGCACCGGCCAACUACGUGCCAGCAGCCGCGGUAAUA
rnacentral:rRNA from 1 species